AUGUCUCAUUUUUUGCCACCCCAUAAACAUACUGACAUUGGUGCUGCUUGCAGUGAAGGAGAGGCUGAGCCUGCACACCCACACCAAAAUGCUUUUGAUAUUUGGAGAUCUACAGGAGUGGGUCACUAUUCUGGCCAGCUUGCUAUUGUCUACCAUGGCUGUUGCAAGACUCAAAGAGAGAAGCAUGAAAAUCCUGUGUCUCCAUGUGGGCAUUCAGUGCGAAGCAGAGCAAGAAAUGGGGCAAGAAAUGGAGUGACAGCAGGAGGGGAUGUAUCUUCCUCCACUGCAUUGGAAUGCCGCCAGCAAGUGCAAGAAUCUGCCUUUUUUUUUUUCCCUGUUUCACAACAGAGCUGUGCUGUAAACAGCAUUUAUCACACAGGGAGUUCCACUUAGAAAUGGGUGAAUGCUAGAAAAAUACUAUUUACAAGUCCUCCCUCAAAUAAAAACCGUGAGUUUAUUUUGGCA
rnacentral:lncRNA from 1 species